rnacentral:rRNA from 1 species
UACGUAGGGGGCAAGCGUUGUCCGGAUUUAUUGGGCGUAAAGAGCGUGUAGGCGGCCUGAAAGGUCAGCUGUGAAAACUCGAGGCUCAACCUCGAGACGUCGGUUGAAACCAUCUGGCUAGAGUCCGGAAGAGGAGUGUGGAAUUCCCGGUGUAGCGGUGAAAUGCGCAGAUAUCGGGAAAGAACACCCGUGGCGAAGGCGGCACUCUGGGACGGUACUGACGC